UAGGGAAUCUUCGGCAAUGGACGGAAGUCUGACCGAGCAACGCCGCGUGAGUGAAGAAGGUUUUCGGAUCGUAAAGCUCUGUUGUAAGAGAAGAACGAGUGUGAGAGUGGAAAGUUCACACUGUGACGGUAUCUUACCAGAAAGGGACGGCUAACUACGUGCCAGCAGCCGCGGUAAUACGUAGGUCCCGAGCGUUGUCCGGAUUUAUUGGGCGUAAAGCGAGCGCAGGCGGUUAGAUAAGUCUGAAGUUAAAGGCUGUGGCUUAACCAUAGUACGCUUUGGAAACUGUUUAACUUGAGUGCAAGAGGGGAGAGUGGAAUUCCAUGUGUAGCGGUGAAAUGCGUAGAUAUAUGGAGGAACACCGGUGGCGAAAGCGGCUCUCUGGCUUGUAACUGACGCUGAGGCUCGAAAGCGUGGGGAGCAAACAGGAUUAGAUACCCUGGUAGUCCACGCCGUAAACGAUGAGUGCUAGGUGUUAGACCCUUUCCGGGGUUUAGUGCCGUAGCUAACGCAUUAAGCACUCCGCCUGGGGAGUACNNNNNNNNGGUUG
rnacentral:rRNA from 1 species